GAAGUAAAAACAGGGUAGCCUGUUCAAAUAUGUAAACGUUUGGACAUUUGUGAAAUCAAAAUUUGGUGCUGAAGAAUAUACAAUUCCAUGUUACUCCAUCCUGUGAGCUUCGUCGUGGCAUGCUGCUUACAAAGCAGUUGAGAUGUUGCUUCUUGACCCAACCUCACUCUUUGACAAUAACUAUCCUGACAUCAACCAAGGUAUAAGGUGUAAGGACAUCUGCAAGAUUCAACUGGUCCCAAACAUGCUCAGUUAGGUUCUAAUCAUCAGGUCCUGCAGGACAUUCCAUGUAGUAGAUUGCUGCCUCCUCGAAGAAAGUGUUCCUCAGGUGGCCACAGUGCACUUAUGCAUUAUUACCUUGAAGCCCUCAUUACUGAAACAUUAAUUAUAGGGAUGAACAAUAGGUUCAAGGAUUCUGUACUGAUUCUGCACAGUCUCAGAUUACCCUCAGUAAUGACUGACAUCCAGGACACAUACAUGAUACCAGCCCAUAGCAUGGCUGACCUACCUCCCUGCUAAACCCAUGUAACUGUAUGUAUGAGAUGUGUAUUGGUAUCUGCCUGCUCCCACACUCUUCAGCAAUUAUUAUGAGGAGUCAGACAAAAAUUCCACACUUUAUGAUGAUGAGAACAUGACACUUUUGACCCAAGUUCAAUUACAGGUGUUCCUUGGCAUUUUAUAGCUAACUAAAGUGUUAUGGGAGUCUUGUACUGUAGUUCGUAAUGGACACAUAGAGACCAAAGUGCUUAAGUGAAGAUGAUACUGAAUGCGUCAACAUACAUUGCCAGUUGCCUCUGAAAAGGCAGUACUGCUGCAUUCCCCUUGGAGUACCAAAGAGCCAUAAUGUGUGAGGAUUAUUGUACGUAGCCACAAUAAAAAUAGGACUCGCGAACUUUGAAAAGAGAAAUAAACAGCGGUUUACAGUGAAGAGAUGAUACAGCCAAUCAGCGCUGGGGUUUCAUAACAAAGCAGGUGCAGCAGCCAGUCAGCACAUAGGUGGACACAGCUCACCAGAGGUAAACAAGAUGCCUUGCCGAGAGAAUUGCAACUUGCCGCAGCUGUGCAGAUCCAGAUGACAACCGCAAGAACCAGGAGCAGAGCAGUGGAAGAAGAGUGAUUGAAAAAUAAGAGGAGAACCAUCUCCAAGGGAACUAAUCACAGUGCAUUUCCUAGCUAACUGCCUCCUGGACCUGUUGAAGGUGUGGACAGCUUGGUGAAAAAGUGUGUUAAAGCUCACUGAAAAAGUGCAAGUGCUUGUGAAAAUUACGUAAGAUUUAGAAAGUGAAAUUUUUUGUCUAAACAUGAACUGUAGUGCGCAAUGUAAUUUAACUUUUUGUAACCCAUGAGGAUUUACUUUAUUUGCAAGACACGACUUGUAUCAAAUGAUAUGUAUUUUUAAAUGUAAUCUUAGCUUACCCAAAAAGGACAUCACUUAUGAUGAAGACGCUUAAAUUUUGUGACCUGUAUGUAAAUAUUUUUGAUGUGGAUUUUCAUAUGGCCAGUUCACGUAAGUAUAAAUUUGAAAAAAACAUAUGUCUUGUAUUUUUUGAUAAGAUUUCUUAUGUAAUAAUUUUUUUGUGUGUGUACCUUGUUAAACCCAAUUUCUGGCGUCACUUGUGGUCACUGAAUUUCCCAGUCAAUCUGGUCAAUCCAAUGAGGGGGUGAUGUGACAAAGCAAGCUGGGAUAAUUUUAAUUCUCCUCUUGUUUUGCCAUCUGCCUCCUUCGAACUCAUUUUUUCGAUUUUAACUGAUUACCAUUAACAUACGUGAGUAUAACCUGCAUUUUCAUAAAAGAG